AUGAAAAGGGUGUCUUUUCCCUCUGCCUCACCCCUCUCAAUAGUACAAAUAAAACCCCCCACAAGAUUAAAGAAGAGAGUUAAAGCAAGAAUCCUCAUGACAAGGGGUGGCUACUCUGGCAUUUUCAAGUCUUGAGGUUGCUGUUUUCCAGGGGGUGAUGUGCAGGGGCAGACCUGCCUGACUUGGAUAUCAGCUUCUCCAUGAAAAUAUGCAGUGCCUAAAAUUUACACUGAUCGAUUUGUUCACGAGAAAGGACAUUUCUAAAAGAGCCAGGAGACUGCCCCCAGAACCAAGAGGAGUACUGGAGAGCAGAAGAUGAAGAAAAACCUUUAAACAGCAGAGCAGUGAAGUGGAGGGAGAGGCGGCCCCUCUCCUUUGCCAGAGACUCCCACUCCCAGAUGCAGGCUGGAGCGAUCCCUCAUAAUUUAAGCUGACACCCCUCAGCGGAGAUGAAAGGAACACCACUCGCUGCUCUCCAACAACAAAUGUCAGCAUCCCUGGAGGCCGUUUAGACACAAACGCAGCAUAAAUCUGACUCCUAGUGGGGAAGUCCAGAGAUUAAGUCUCCACACACAGCCUACCAGAGUGAAAUGAAUUUGCUUGGCACAAAGUUUGAACAUGUUUCUCAGGGCCUUUCUUUCCCCUUUCUUGUAAAAAAAAAAUCUGGAAUGGUU
ensembl:lncRNA LMX1A-AS1 LMX1A antisense RNA 1